rnacentral:rRNA from 1 species
GAUCAUGGCUCAGGAUGAACGCUGGCGGCGUGCUUAACACAUGCAAGUCGAACGAAGCACUUUGGACAGAUUCUUCGGAUGAAGUCCUUAGUAACUGAGUGGCGGGCGGGUGAGUAACGCGUGGGUAACCUGCCUCAUACAGGGGGAUAACAGUUAGAAAUGGCUGCUAAUACCGCAUAAGCGCACAGUACCGCAUGGUACGGUGUGAAAAACUCCGGUGGUAUGAGAUGGACCCGCG